rnacentral:misc_RNA from 1 species
UUUUAAGAUUGAUGUUAUGUUUAGUCACAACACACUAGGCAAGGGAAAAAAAACAAACUUAUGCAGUUCAGAACACAAAAACAAAGAAACUACAGAGUUGCUCUCUAUAUAGCAGGACCUAAAACACAACACAAAACAGAAACAACUGUAUCUACAUCUCACCAGAAAUCAUCCCCCCAGCAAAAGGAACAAUAACAAUGAAUUGCAAAGACUCUAAGAAGAGAUUUGAACACACUAUCUGUAAUAGAAGAUUCCCUCCUAUUUGCUGGAGAGAGCAAGCAAACAACCUUGUUUCUGCAACUUAGAGCUGCACCUCUCUGUCAUAUAUCCAGCUAAAUGGCAUGAUUGGUCCUUGUUUUGCCCUCACUUGAGCUCUCUCUUCCAGUCUUCUGAUUCUUGCUGUCAACCCGCAUAGGUAUUCCUGAGCUUUCCUGCCUUCUCCUGAUAAUCCAGUAAGAUCAGACACUUUCCAUCGACCAACAAGGAACUCCAGUAUAUCUGCAUAGUCACUAGCAGUGUAGACGCCAAGACGUUGAGCAACUGCUGAGAAGUGAUCAAACAGGUUAUCAUCACGACCAUCGUACAUCAAGUGUGCUGGCAUUGCUAUCUUUUUCCUCAUCAUAUCAGCAAAUGCUAGCACAGUGCCAUCAGGGUCGAUCUCGAAAAGCUUUUCAACAAUCUUGGUAUAGGCUGUCUCAUGACGCUUCUCGUCUGCAGCAAUCGUGCCACAGAUUUGAGCCAGCUUGAUGUCUCCAUGCUCCUUAGCAAAUCUAGCUGUGUUCCCAUGGGAGAUAAAAGUUGCUCUUUCUUGGAAUGAGGUGUAAAUAUAUCCUAGGUAUGGACUGUUUUCUGUCCUAGGAUCCAUUCCAGAUCCAAUCAAGUAUUGAAUUGUUUUCUCAAUUGCUCUCAUGUCAACUCGUCCGGAAAGGUAAAGAUACUUGUUGAGGAGAUCACCAUGCCUGUUCUCUUCGGCAGUCCAAGCUCUUGUCCAAAUGGCCCAAGAAGUAGGGCUUGCGCCAGUUUCAUCACGAACACCAUCCAAGGUAUUUAUCAUACUCUGAUAUGUUGGAAGGGCUUCUUCAGUGAUC